UCACAAUUCAAACACACAUCAACGUAACCAAAAACGAGGUCAACAUAAUAGAACAAAAGUACUGUUCUUGUUACUGGAGCGGGUGGAAGAACUGGUAAAAAAAUCUGCCUAUAUACUCUUUAUUUUGCUGUUUAUUAUAGUCCUGGGUGUUAUAUAUUUGUAUUUUGUUGGUUUUGAUGUGCCCAAGGGUGAUUAUGGGUUUGGGAUUUGGAUUUCUGUGGCAUAGUUAAAGUUCUUUUUGUCUGCAACUUCAGUUGACUCCAUACUCGAUAGAAUAGAUAGAUUGACCUAUUUCCUAUUUUUUGAGUACCAAAGAUUCAACUUACAAGGAAUCAUUUGAAAUUGUUUACAUAUUUGGAAUGAAAAAGGUUCCUAUUUAGACUUGUACAGAUAAUAAAACUUUUACAUGGAACGAUUAACAUUGUAUUAGAUCCUAAAGACCUAAUUAUGAAAAAUGAUCACUCGUUGGGCCUAUUACUAUGAGUGUGUUGAAGAAAACAUUUAAAUAAAUAUGUGCAUCACAUCUAUGACAGUUUAAAUUUUUAGAUGAGUUAACAUUCUUCAUAGGGAGAGAUGAUGAAAUUUGUGGAUUGGGAUUCUUGAGAAUUUUGGUUAUGCAAAUGUAUGGAUUGUGUUGGAUUCAUGACGUUUUGUGUUUCAUGUGAAUAUCUGGAACUUUAUGACAUUGAGACUAGGUAAGUGGAAAUGUAUGUUCUGUUCCUUCAAAAAUUCACAGAAUUUCAUUUAUAGAAGAUGAAGUGUAUGAUUAACGUUCAGAAUAGGCGUUCACAAUAUAGCAGAAGUGUAAGGCAGUUUGGGGGCCUUAGGACUGGCUGUUCUAUUGCUUGCUCCUGAAGAUGGUCAUGUGACUUUGUAGUCCAGUCCAAGUGUCACGGAGUUGUAUUUAAGGAAAAUAUUCAUAUUAAAAAUUACUAUUUCAUGUUCAACAAUAAUAUAUAGAGUUGUUGCUUUCAUUUUGUUGGCCACGAGAUGAAGGAAAUUUCAGGGAUGUUCCUAAAUUCUACAUUGGGAGGCGGUGUAGAAGGGGUUGUGUCAAGGAUAACCAAAUGAAAGAAUCUGUUGUGAUGUGAUGAUUGUAUUUGUAGACUUCAGUUAGUCUUCUGAUAAUCAGCAGCGUUGAAUUUGUUAUGAGUAAAUCAUAAUACAAAAGAAUGGUUAAUAAGUUUUAAAGCCAGUUUGCAAAAUUCUGUGGUUGGUUCAUAGCUUGAGAAUUAGAUGGUCCCCAAUAGUAUUGUGGUCCAAGAAGUUUGUGAACACUAUAACGCCUUUAUGCAGUCUAUAUUAUCAUUUUCACUUCUCAACUAUCCUACUCCUGCACGUCUGUUUUCCAUUUUUCAGUUUCUUGACUUAUUAAGCUCAUCUAUUUGUCUCACCCCCACUGAACUCUUCGCUGUCUUUGCCUAUGAGCCGCUCUAAGCUUUAGUAAUGAAGUCUUAAAGACAGACGAGCUCCUUUACCUUGUUUCUAGAGACUACUUUACUCCUAUUUAAUUAGUCAAAACCGUGCAUAAAGAGAACCUGGAUAUAUGAGGGAGAGCCAUUGAGGACAAAGUGGAGAAGGUUACAUAAGUUUCCAGGUUAAUGAACAAACUGAGAGUACCUGCUCAUCUCUUAAGGGUUUUUAUUAGAGGCUUCUGGAGAAUAACUAUUUUAGAUUCUUGUAUCUGGACUGAAUUAUACAAUUUUGGAUCCUCAUGGUUUUGAGCAAGAGCAUAUGAGCUUUAGUUUGCGAAGUAGAAGACUGGUAAUUUAGGUUUGAUAUGAAGGAAGAUUUCACUAAUCAAGCCAAGGAGCAAAAAUCAGCCACCACAAAUCAAGCCAAGAAUCAAAACCAGCAAGAUAGCCAAUAAUUAUGCCUGUAACAGUCAAUCAAUUUUCUAUAAAUGUUAUUUUUGUAUAAUAAUGAAAUUAGCCUGCUAUUUUUAUAUAUGCAAAAUGUUGGCUAAUUUCCUAAAAUAGAGAUAGGAGAUUUUGAAUUUAAAUGUACGCAAGUCAUUGUAAAAUGGAGGUUGUAAAGUCUGUCAUUUUUACAGAGAAAUAAAACACUGCUCUAAUUUCCAUCAGUUGCUCUUGUUGAAUUUCCAUCAUGGUAUCAGAGCAGCCAUUCUCUCACGAGAGUUUGAUCCCCAUUUCAUCUAACCCCACUCAAAAUUCUUCAUCCCCAACAGAUAUCCCCUUGAUUGCUCUCAACGUUACAGCACAAAUCAAUGACAAACUUACUCUCUCAACCUUCCCAUAGUGGCGUGCCCAAUUUGAAGCUCUUCUAAUUGGGUACAACCUCCUCAACUACGUCACUGGAGAAAAACCUUGCCCCCAUCAAGCUGACCAACCCUCAUCCUCCCUUCAAAAAACACCCUGGGUAAAGCAGGAUAAACUAAUCCUAAGUACUAUCCUAGCAUCCACUGCGACGACCAUCACCCCUCUCAUUUUGUUUGCCAAAACUUCUUAGGAAGCGUGGCAAAAAUUAAACACCCUCUAUGCUAGCAAAUCUCGAACUAGGGCAAUGCAACUCAAAGAGGAAAUAACACUAAUGAAACGGGGCAAUCAAACCAUCCAGGAAUACCUGCAUAUAGUGAAGUCUAUUGGUGAUGAAAUAGCACUCAUUGAUCAUCCAAUUUCAGAUGAUGAUCUCACUUUAUACAUUCUCAAUGGUCUCGGCUCUGAUUAUCGGGAGAUUGCUACACCCAUCAGAGCUCGGGAAAAAUCCCUCACCUUUGAAGUCUCAACACAGCAGCUACUAGCCACGACCAACUACACGAACCGGCGUCCAGGUUCUUCCUCUUCAUCUGGAAGCAACGGCAACUCCUCUCGGGGUCCAAAUAAGAAACAUAUCUUUAAAGGGUCCGUGGCCCAAUCACACCCAAAUAGUUGGCCACGUGAUAAUAGGAAGCAAAACAACUUGGGCCGGUACAACGGCCAACGAUGCUUCCAGCCCAAAUGUCAACUUUGUGACCAAUUGGGUCACAUUGCAAAGUAGUGUCCACGAGCGACUUUUCCCGAAGUUACUACAAAUUGUGUUUCCACCUCUCAACAGUAGAACACUAAGUGGCUCAUUGAUUCUGCUGCUUCACAUAAUAUUACGAGUGAUUUGGCAAACCUCUCAAUGCACUCGGAAUAUGGUGGGACAUAUGAAGUUGAAAUAGGCGAUGGUUCAAGUUUGCAUGUAUCACACAUUGGUUUUUUGGUAUUUCAAUCACCAACACGUACCUUUAAUUUAAAUGAUACUUUGUGUUCCAAGUAUCUGCAAAAAAUUGAUUUCCAUUCAUCACUUUACCACUCAAAAUAAUGUUUUUUCUUGAAUUUCACCCCCACUUAUUUUCUUGUCAAGGAUUAGACCACGGGGGCAACUUUACUUAAAGGUGCAUGUGAAAAUGGUGUUUACAAGCUCCCAAACUCCCUAACGGACUCUCCUUAAAAAAUGGUUGCAAAUGUGCAUGAGCGAACAUCGAUUGAUGGGUGGCACAAGAGGCUUGGACAUCCAUCUCAAAAAGUUAUUCAUUAUCUUAUCAAAUCUUUUUCCCUUUUAAUAAAAAAAAGACCAAGUGUCUCACAUUUGUAUUUCUUGUUCAAUGAAUAAAGCACACCAACAACCAUUUCGUUCCACUAGUUUACAAAGCAAUGCACCCCUUGAUCUCAUCUACACCGACGUUUGGGGUUCCGCGCAUACAAUUGGGAUCGAUGGUUCUAAAUAUUAUUUGAUUUUGGUCAACCAUUUUACCAAAUAUGUGUGGUUCUACCCUUUAACAAAAAAAUCCGACGUAAGCUUCCACAAUGUAAAAAUCUUGUGGAAAAUCGCUUUCAAAAGAGAAUCAAAAGUCUCUAUUCCGAUAAUGUGGUGAAUUUGUGGCACUCAAAAAUUAUCCUUCAUUUCAUGGAAUUAGCCACUAUACCAUGGCACCCCAUACACCACGACAAAAUGGGGUCUCCGAACGUCGUCAUCGUCAUCGUCAUCGUGUUGAAACAGGAUUAACCUUAUUACAAGAUACUUCUCUACCCCUAUCAUAUUGGCCCCAUGCUUUUGAAACGGCUGCUUAUCUUAUUAAUCGACAACCAACACAAUUGUUAAAAAAUAAAUCACCAUUUGAAGCCUUAUUUCAACAAACACCAAAUUAUCUCAAGUUAAGAAAUUUUGGUUGCCUCUGUUUUCCUCUAAUCCGGCCCUACAACUCAAAUAAACUCCAACCUAAAUCCAUCCCAUGCCUAUUCUUAGGCUAUUCCCAAACCCAAAAUGCAUUCAAGUGCUUUGAUAUGAACACAAAACGUACAUAUCUCUCUCGGCAUGUUAUCUUCAAUGAAACCAAAAGUCCCAUCAAGUCCCAAGAACCCGGCACUAAAAUCCUCCCCAUCUAUGCUGCCUAUAUCGAUGAUUCCCGUGCCGCAACCACUGUCAGUAUAGUCUGAGAGCUCGCCGCCUUCCGCUACACCCUCAGGUAAUUCCCCUAAUUUCUCUCCUCGAAAUUUCCCCAAUUUAAACUCAAUUUCUUCGAUCACACCACACCAGUCGCACACAAGUGAGUCCACUCACUCAAGUCCCUUACUCACCAUGGAUAAACAAACUCCUUGUACAGAAAUCAUCGAGUCCAUAGUCUAUAACCCACCUUUUGAGAUAACCCGAACUCACACCAUGACCACUCGGUCCAUGAACAACAUCUACAAGCCGAAACAGUUAAACUCAAUUACAAAACAUCCUAUUCAACCAACUAUUGAACCAAACUGUGUGAGUCAAGCACUCCGUGAACCAAAAUGGAGACAUGCCAUGUCUGAAGAACUCACGGCAUUGAUUAGGUAUGGUACAUGGGACUUAGUUCCUCCUCCUACACACUGCAAACUAGUAGGCUAUAAAUGGGUAUUUUGAGUUAAGAGGAAAGCUGAUGGGUCUAUUGAUCGCUUUAAAGCAAGACUUGUGGCCAAAGGGUAUAACCAACGCCCUGGCUUAGAUUAUAAAGAGACAUUUAGUCCGGCUAUAAAGCCGGCAACAAUAAAAACUAUUUUGACUAUUGCUGUUAUGCAAGGGUAGAUUUUAAGACAACUUGAUGUCAACAAUGCAUUCUUACAUGGGAUGUUGACUGAAAAUGUUUACAUGGUUCAACCUCCGGGGUUCAAGGAUACAUCUAAGCCUAACCAUGUCUGCAAGUUACACAAGGCCAUCUAUGGCCUAAAAUAAGCACCAAGAGCAUGGUAUUCAGCCCUCAAGAAAACCAUUACAGAGCUUGAGUUUAUGAAUUCUAAAGUAGAUUCUUCAUUAUUUAUAUACAGAAUCAGCUCGGUUACAUGUUUUCUGCUGGUAUAUGUGGAUGACUUAGUCAUAACUGGCAUACUCAAUUUGUUGCUUCAGUAAUCACAAAACUUGGACAUUGUUUCUCUUUGAAGAUAUGGGACAGCUAAAUUUUUUCCUGGGGAUGGAAGUUAUACCUACUAAAUCUGGUCUCUUCUUAUCUCAGCAUAAAUACAUUAGAGAUAUCAUGUCCAAAAGUAAUAUGCUCGGUGCAAAAGAUGCAUCCAUACCAUUAUCAACCACUAUAUCCCUCAAACUCAUUGAUGGAACCAGCUCCGUUGACAGCAUAGAAUUUAGGAGUGUUAUAGGUGCUCUUCAAUAUCUAUCUCUUACGAGGCCAGACAUUUCAUUUACGGUGACUAAACUCUCUCAGUUCAUGCAUAAACCUACUGCAACUCAUUGGAUGGCUGCAAAGAGGCUCCUUCGUUACUUGAAACAAACAAUUUUUCAUGGAAUUCACAUUAGAUUCAGUCCGUCAACUCUUACCACAUACAGCGAUGCAGGUUGGGCAGGGAACUUUGAUGAUAGAACUUCAACCUCUGCUUAUAUAUGUUUCCUUGGCACAAAUCCAAUUUCUUGGAACUCUAAAUAACAAAGGAAAGUUGCUCGAUCAUCAACCAAGGCCGAGUACAGAGACCUUGCAAAUGUGGCCUCUGAAACCAUUUGGCUCCUUCAGUUAUUUCAAGAACUUGGCCACCCUAUAUCAUCCACACCAAAGCUACUUUGUGAUAACUUGGGUGCCACACAACUGAGUUUCAAUCCAGUCCACCACUCUCGAAUGAAGCACAUUCAAAUUGAUCUAAACUUUAUGCGCGAUAUAGUUCAGAAAGGAACACUCCAAGUUCAUCAUGUAAAUACACAGGACCAGCUUGCAUAUAUUCUAUCAAAACCACUGUCAAAGCAACGUACGAAACAACUGAGAAACAAGAUUGGUCUUGCCGAUGGCAGCCCAAUCUUGCGGGGUCGUAUGAAGGAAGAUUCCACUAAUCAAGCCAAGGAGCAAAAAUCAGCCACCACAAAUCAAGCCAAGAAUCAAAACCAGCAAGAUAGCCAAUAAUCAUGCCUAUAACGGUCAAUCAAUUUUCUGUAAAUGUUAUUUUUUUAUAACCAUGAAAUUAGCCUGCUACUUUUAUAUAUGCAAAAUGUUGGCUAAUUUCCUAAAAUAGAGAUAGGAGAUUUUGUAUUUAAAUGUACGCAAGUCAUUGUAAAAUGGAGGUUGUAAAGUCUGUCAUUUUUACAGAGAAAUAAAACACUACUCUAACUUCCAUCAGUUGAUCUUGCUGAAUUUCCAUCAUCUGGGAUGCUUAUUUUGAAAUCUUUCGUUUUCGCGAUCAGCCGUUUGUUCUGUUUUCUAGAUUUGGUCCUCCCUCGCCUGUAUGCAUAGGUCUAUAUAAGACCAUAUAAAUCUUGCGUCUGCUACUUUGUUUCUUUGUUGUCUGCAUGCUUGUAUGAUAAAAUAUUUGAUUUUUACCAGAUCAACCUAACAGCAAAAUAUUGACAAAUAUGUUUUCUUAUCCACCAACUGUAGUUUUGCAUGCAUGGUGCUAGUUAUUUGAAGGAAAAAUGAGACUUAUCUCCACACAAUUACAUUUCCAAAAAAUCCUCUGCUGACAGGCUUUUGCGUCACUUGAUUAUGUCACGACAAAUUUGUUAGAAGAAACUGAAGAAGAGAUCAGUCCAGUUUACUACUAGAGGUUUGGUAAGAACUCAGGAGGGAAAGGAAAAAGGUUGGUGGAGCAGAUGAUGUUUGCAUUGGUGAUAUAGGGAAUGCGGAAAGCAUUGUUCCAGCAAUCCAAGGUAUUGACGCGCUCAUCAUUCUUACAAGUUCCAUGCCAAAGGUAGAACCCAGGUCUGACCCAGCUAAAGGUGGAAGGCGGGAAUUCUGUUUUGACGAUGGAGCAUAUCCUGAACAGGUAUCAUUACCUAGAGUGUGUUUGGCUACGCAUAGAAAAUGUAAGAGUUAAUUUGGAGUAACUUUUUGUUUUCCAAAUAUUUGGUUGUGUUAAUUUAUAUCUUAUUUUCAAGUAAAAAAUGUUAAUUAAUUCGGAAGUGCUCUUACCUUAACGUACUUAUUUUCAGCCUUAACCAUUCAAGAAAGUGAUUUAUUUCUAAACUAAUUUACUAAAAGGUAAAUGUUUUAGCUUAGCCAAACAUGGUUCUAGUAGAGUUUGUGUUAGAGCUCCCUUUCUGCGUCAUCACUGAUCUUCAGUAUACAUUUCUAGGUUGAUUAGAUUGGGCAAAAGAACUAAAUAGAUGCCAGUGAGAAACAGUACUAAAAUUUACCGUUUCUAAUAGUUUCCUUACUCAACAGAAAGAUGUGAUUUAUGGGUUGAACAGCAAAAGCUGCUGGAGUGAAGCACAGUAUUAAUUGGAUGAAUGGGAGGAACUAAUGAAAACCACCCUUUAAACAGCUUGGGAAAUGGAAACAUAUUGGUUUGUUCUCCCUUUGCCUAGAUUCUCUUUUUCUUUUAUCGCCUCUUUUCAUGUACUAUUUUCUCUUCUGUCACAUCUCAAGAGGUUGAAGAUGCAUCCCCGCAUAUAGAUUGUUAUAUGUCAGUUUUUUCUUUUGAUAGUUUUCAUUCCUUCUUCCACACUCUGCCUUUUGGUUGUCUAUGUGGAUUUAAAGCUCAUGGUUACAAUGGAAGCUGAGAUAUUGCCAGUAUCUGAUUUCUCAGCUGGUAUAAUAAAAUUGAGUUCUCAUCCUAUAUAUUCAACUUAUAUUUGCAAAGAAAAGAAAAAUCUUUCUGCGAAUCAAGUCUAAAUUAAAUGGAGCGGCUUAUAAACAAUAUUGUCAAUACGCCUCUCAAUCCUGGAGCAAGCAAAAAGCUUCGCUUUAAGGUCAGUUGAGCUGAGUGACAUGUUUACUCGACCAGUGCUUGUUUUAUCUUAUAAUUUACUUGCUUUCCUCCUGGCUUCCAUUGAAAAGUAACUGUUGUUAUUCAACACAAGCAAAGCAAAAGAAGUAAAAAGACAGCAAAGAAAAUAAAAUGAUUUCUGGAAACUUGGAUAUAUUUUAUUCUCUGCACAGCUCUUUAUAUAGAGCUGGAGUUUAACAGAAUGCCAAAGAAAUUUGCUGAUUACAAGGCAUGACAACAACUUAUCUAAGAAAACUUGCAAAAUCAAAUGUUGUUAGCUCAUAAUCCCAUUAUAAUCAACUGUGAAUAUCUUGGGCUUCAAACUCAGAUGUUGAUACUAGCAAUGAGUAAGCCCUACUGUUAAUGUCUAGAGGAAUAGUGAUGAAAAAACCACCGAUUUAUGGUGGUUACAUUGUCCGCUUACUGCUGCUGAUUUUCACUACAAUGAGGAAAGAAAUUAUAAAAUUGUCCUCAUACUUCAGUGAUCUUACAGAGAAAAAUGGUCUCCCUGAUUCCUCAUGUAAUAUAGGAUAUUAAGGGGACCUAAUACAAAAUAAGGAAUGCCCAAUAUACUCCUAGACUAGGUUGAUCCAUGGACGAGGUGAUAAGUGAACUGUACAGUUAAGCUCUACAGUCCAGUAAAAUACUUUAAUCAUAUACUAGAUGAAACUUGCUGAGAAUACAUGCUCUCAACAUUUUUCGUUCAGGUUAUGCAUAAUCUGAAAAUUAACUCUCAUUUCUUUGGUUGGUGUAGGGCUGGAGGGUUGCAAGAUAAAGGCAGGCGUGUAAGGGAGCUACUUGUUGGAAAGGAUGAUUAACUUUUCAGACAGGAACAAGGACUACUGCCAUAGCCGAUAUGGCAGAAGUCUGCAUUCAGGUAAUUUCUACCUCUGGGAGCAAUAAUAAUCUGAAAAGAAGCAAUGUACGCACAAAUUUGAAGUCUUCUAUCUACACUGUAUUAUCUUGGUUUCUCAGUGGUUUUAAAGUAUCUGAUCUAAUGAAAUCUCACGAACAGUCACGCCAACUAAGGACUUCAAGACUAUUUUCCCAGAUCAGUACUCGAUUCUCAUUAAUGAGC
rnacentral:lncRNA from 1 species